GGAAGGGUGGUCUUAUGGUUUUGGCACAGGACUGGAACUCAGAAAACUUGGGUUCUAUUCCUGACCCUUCCA
rnacentral:tRNA from 1 species